GACGUAGGGGGCAAGCGUUAUUCGGAAUCAUUGGGCGUAAAGCGCUCGUAGGCGGGACGGGAAGUCCGUGAAGAAAGACCUGGGCUCAACUCAGGGACCGGCACGGAUACUCUCGUUCUUGAGGCAAUCAGAGGGUGAUGGAAUUCCCGGUGUAGCGGUGAAAUGCGUAGAUAUCAGGAGGAACACCGGUGGCGAAGGCGGGUCUCUGGGCCGAUAUUGACGCUGAGGAGCGAAAGCGUGGGGAGCGAACAGG
rnacentral:rRNA from 1 species